UGGCUCAGAUUGAACGCUGGCGGGAUGCUUUACACAUGCAAGUCGAACGGCAGCACGGACUUCGGUCUGGUGGCGAGUGGCGAACGGGUGAGUAAUGUAUCGGAACGUGCCUAGUAGCGGGGAUAACUACGCGAAAGCGUAGCUAAAUACCGCAUACGCCCUUCGGGGGAAAGCGGGGGACCUUUCGCCUCAAAAUUAGGAGCGGCCGAUAUCGGAUUAGCCAGUUGGUGGGUGAUCGGCUCACCAAGGCGACGAUCUGUAGCUGGUUUGAGAGGAUGACCAGCCAGCUGACUCCUUCGACCGAGACACGGCCCAGACUCCUACGGGAGGCAGCAGUGUAAUCUUGACAAUGGGAACCCUGAUCCAGCCAUCCCGCGUGUGCGAUGAAGGCCUUCGGGUUGUAAAAGCACUUUUGGCAGGAAAGAAACGGCACGGAUAAUACCCCGUGCAACUGACGGUACCUGCAGAAUAAGCACCUACCAAUCCGUGCCAGCAGCCGCGGUAAUACGUAGGGUGCAAGCGUUAAUCAACUCACGGGCGUAAAGCGUGCGCAGGCGGUUCGGAAAGAAAGAUGUGAAAUCCCAGAGCUUAACUUUGGAACGUACUUAACUACCGAGCUAGAGUGUGUCAGAUGUGGAGUGGAAUUCCGCGUGUAGCAGAACAGUGUAGAUAUGCGGAGGAACACCGAUGGCGAAGGCAGCCUCCUGGGAUAACACUGACGCUCAUGCACGAAAGCGUGGAGCAAACAGGAUUAGAUACCCUGUAGUCCACGCCCUAAACGAUGUCAACCAGCUGUUGGGGGCUCUCGGCACGUAGCGCAGCCAACGCGUAGUUGACCGCCUGGGGAGCGCUGGUCGCAAGAUUAAAACUCGUAAAGGAAUUGACGGGGACCCGCAUACGGUGGAUGAUGUGGAUUAAUUCGAUGCAAGAAAACCUUACCCUUACCCUUGACAUGUCUGGAAUCCCGAAGAGAUUUGGGAGUGCUCGCAAGAGAACCGGAACACAGGUGCUGCAUGGCUGUCGUCAGCUCGUGUCGAGAUGCUGGGUUAAGUCCGCAACGAUGCAACCCUUGUCACAGCGAGCAUGAAAGGGCACCAAUAGACUGCCGGUGACAAACCGGAGGAAGGUGGGGAUGACGUCAAGUCCUCAUGGCCCUGGUAGGGCUUCACACGUCAUACAAUGGUCGGGACAGAGGGUCGCCAACCCGCGAGGGGAGCCAAUCCUACAGAACCCGAUCGUAGUCCGGAUCGCAGUCUGCAACUCGACUGCGUGAAGUCGGAAUCGCUAGUAAUCGCGGAUCAGCAUGUCGUGUGAAUACGUUCCCGGGUCUUGUACACACCGCCCGUCACACCAUGGGAGUGGGUUUUACCAGAAGUAGUUAGCCUAACCGUAAGGAGGGCGAUUACCACGGUAGGAUUCAUGACUGGGGUGAAGUCGUAACAAGGUAG
rnacentral:rRNA from 1 species